UAUGGCGAUAUCAUGUUGAGACACCAAUUCUCGUACAAUCACUGAAGUUAAGUGACAUCAAGCCUGGUCAGUACCUAGAUGGGUGACUACUUGGAAAUACCAGGUGCUGUAA